CUCCUACGGGGGGCAGCAGUGGGGAAUUUUGGACAAUGGGCGAAAGCCUGAUCCAGCCAUGCCGCGUGUGUGAAGAAGGCCUUCGGGUUGUAAAGCACUUUUGUUCGGAACGAAACGCCAAAGACGAAUAAUCUUUGGUAAUGACGGUACCGGAAGAAUAAGCACCGGCUAACUACGUGCCAGCCGCCGCGUAAUAC
rnacentral:rRNA from 1 species